rnacentral:rRNA from 1 species
GAUGAACGCUGGCGGCGUGCCUAAUACAUGCAAGUCGAGCGAACAGAUGAGGAGCUUGCUCCUCUGACGUUAGCGGCGGACGGGUGAGUAACACGUGGAUAACCUACCUAUAAGACUGGGAUAACUACGGGACACCGGAGCUAAUACCGGAUAAUAUAUUGAACCGCAUGGUUCAAUAGUGAAAGACGGUUUUGCUGUCACUUAUAGAUGGAUCCGCGCCGCAUUAGCUAGUUGGUAAGGUAACGGCUUACCAAGGCAACGAUGCGUAGCCGACCUGAGAGGGUGAUCGGCCACACUGGAACUGAGACACGGUCCAGACUCCUACGGGAGGCAGCAGUAGGGAAUCUUCCGCAAUGGGCGAAAGCCUGACGGAGCAACGCCGCGUGAGUGAUGAAGGUCUUCGGAUCGUAAAACUCUGUUAUUAGGGAAGAACAAAUGUGUAAGUAACUAUGCACGUCUUGACGGUACCUAAUCAGAAAGCCACGGCUAACUACGUG